GGGAUAACUUCGGGAAACCGGAGCUAAUACCGGAUAAUAUUUUGAACCGCAUGGUUCAAAAGUGAAAGACGGUCUUGCUGUCACUUAUAGAUGGAUCCGCGCUGCAUUAGCUAGUUGGUAAGGUAACGGCUUACCAAGGCAACGAUGCAUAGCCGACCUGAGAGGGUGAUCGGCCACACUGGAACUGAGACACGGUCCAGACUCCUACGGGAGGCAGCAGUAGGGAAUCUUCCGCAAUGGGCGAAAGCCUGACGGAGCAACGCCGCGUGAGUGAUGAAGGUCUUCGGAUCGUAAAACUCUGUUAUUAGGGAAGAACAUAUGUGUAAGUAACUGUGCACAUCUUGACGGUACCUAAUCAGAAAGCCACGGCUAACUACGUGCCAGCAGCCGCGGUAAUACGUAGGUGGCAAGCGUUAUCCGGAAUUAUUGGGCGUAAAGCGCGCGUAGGCGGUUUUUUAAGUCUGAUGUGAAAGCCCACGGCUCAACCGUGGAGGGUCAUUGGAAACUGGAAAACUUGAGUGCAGAAGAGGAAAGUGGAAUUCCAUGUGUAGCGGUGAAAUGCGCAGAGAUAUGGAGGAACACCAGUGGCGAAGGCGACUUUCUGGUCUGUAACUGACGCUGAUGUGCGAAAGCGUGGGGAUCAAACAGGAUUAGAUACCCUGGUAGUCCACGCCGUAAACGAUGAGUGCUAAGUGUUAGGGGGUUUCCGCCCCUUAGUGCUGCAGCUAACGCAUUAAGCACUCCGCCUGGGGAGUACGACCGCAAGGUUGAAACUCAAAGGAAUUGACGGGGACCCGCACAAGCGGUGGAGCAUGUGGUUUAAUUCGAAGCAACGCGAAGAACCUUACCAAAUCUUGACAUCCUUUGACAACUCUAGAGAUAGAGCCUUCCCCUUCGGGGGACAAAGUGACAGGUGGUGCAUGGUUGUCGUCAGCUCGUGUCGUGAGAUGUUGGGUUAAGUCCCGCAACGAGCGCAACCCUUAAGCUUAGUUGCCAUCAUUAAGUUGGGCACUCUAAGUUGACUGCCGGUGACAAACCGGAGGAAGGUGGGGAUGACGUCAAAUCAUCAUGCCCCUUAUGAUUUGGGCUACACACGUGC
rnacentral:rRNA from 1 species